UACGUAGGUGGCAAGCGUUGUCCGGAUUUACUGGGCGUAAAGAGCGCGCAGGCGGUCGUUCAAGUCGCGUGUGAAAGCCCCCGGCUCAACUGGGGAGGGUCACGCGAUACUGAUCGACUCGAAGGCAGGAGAGGGUAGUGGAAUUCCCGGUGUAGUGGUGAAAUGCGUAGAUAUCGGGAGGAACACCAGUGGCGAAGGCGACUACCUGCCUGUUUCUUGACGCUGAGGCGCGAAAGCUAGGGGAGCAAACGGGG
rnacentral:rRNA from 1 species